rnacentral:piRNA from 1 species
UCAGACAAAAAGAAACAAGGAUGGCCU